UCAAGCUUGAAAAUUGUAAUUACUGAUAAGAACUCGUUUGUUAAACCUCUGUGAGGUAUAAAACCAAAUGCUACAGACGUCAAUUUUCCAGCCCCAUUUGUUUUGUCAGGAUAGAAGAUUCCACAAUAACUCCUCAGAGGAUAUUAACAAGGUUCCACAAUAACUCCUUAGAGGAUAUUUACAGUGUUAUACACUAACCCCUUAGAGGAUAUAAACAAGGUUCCACAAUAACUCCUUAGAGGAUAUAAACAAGGUUCCACAAUAACUCCUUAGAGGAUAUUGUCAGUGUUAUACACUAACUACUUAGAGGAUAUUAACAAGGUUCCACAAUAACUCCUUAGAGGAUAUUUACAGUGUUAUACACUAACUCCUUAGAGGAUAUAAACAAGGUUCCACAAUAACUCCUUAGAGGAUAUAAACAAGGUUCCACAAUAACUCCUUAGAGGAUAUUUAC